CUUUAUGCGGGUUGCUAGGU
rnacentral:piRNA from 1 species